AGACACCAGUAAAGGCUGCCUGACAUAGCUAGUGAGGUUAUAACCGAGGUGUGUCAAUUGCUGGGUGAAAACUAUUUCCAAACCCCCUCUAUGGCCUGGGCUCAGCCCUGUGCCAUCGAGAAUUUCUGGAAGGGCCCCCUCUAAUCCAGUGAAAGGCC